UCGGAGGCAGCAGUGGGGAAUAUUGCGCAAUGGGGGAAACCCUGACGCAGCAACGCCGCGUGAGUGAGGAAGGACUUCGGUCUGUAAAGCUCUGUUAAUGUGGAAAAAUGGCAUCGGGUCUAAUAGGCCUGAUGUUUGAUGGUACACAUAGAGGAAGCACCGGCUAACUUCGUGCCAGCAGCCGCGGUAAUACGAAGGGUGCAAGCGUUGUUCGGAUUUAUUGGGCGUAAAGCGCGCGUAGGCGGACCUGCAAGUCAGAUGUGAAAUCUCGAGGCUCAACCUCGAAACUGCGUCUGAAACUACAGGUCUAGAAUCUUGGAGGGGGAAGGGGAAUUUCGCAUGUAGGGGUAAAAUCCGUAGAUAUGCGAAGGAACACCAGAGGCGAAGGCGCCUUCCUGGACAAGUAUUGACGCUGAGGCGCGAAAGCGUGGGGAUCAAACAGGAUUAGAUACCCUGGUAGU
rnacentral:rRNA from 1 species